rnacentral:tRNA from 1 species
GGAUCUUUGGCCAAGCGGUUUAAGGCGCUCGACUCAAGAUCGAGUAUCGUAAGAUGCAUGAGUUCGAAUCUCAUAGGAUCCACCA